AUGCGCUGCUUCUAAUUGUCCUUUCAGGACAAUUAUUGACCAUUUGACCUCAAAUCAGGUAGGAC
rnacentral:rRNA from 1 species